rnacentral:rRNA from 1 species
GAUGAACGCUGGCGGCGCGCCUAACACAUGCAAGUCGAACGGUUAAAGCACCUGUUAGGUGUGUAUAAAGUGGCGAACGGCUGAGUAACACGUGGGCAACCUGCCCUCCUCUUGGGGAUAGCCUCGGGAAACCGAGGAUAAUACCCGAUACUUCAAUGUGGCCGCAUGACGACAUUGAGAAAGCUUUUGCGGAGAAGGAUGGGCCCGCGGCCUGUUAGCUUGUUGGUGGGGUAGAGGCCUACCAAGGCAAUGAUGGGUAGCUGGGUUGAGAGACCGACCAGCCAGAUUGGGACUGAGACACGGCCCAGACUCCUACGGGAGGCAGCAGUGGGGAAUCUUGCACAAUGGGGGGAACCCUGAUGCAGCGACGCCGCGUGAGCGAAGAAGGUUUUCGAAUCGUAAAGCUCUGUCCUAUGAGAAGAUAAUGACGGUAUCAUAGGAGGAAGCCCCGGCUAAAUACGUGCCAGCAGCCGCGGUAAUACGUAUGGGGCGAGCGUUGUCCGGAAUUAUUGGGCGUAAAGGGUACGUAGGCGGUUUUUUAAGUCAGGUGUGAAAGCGUGAGGCUUAACCUCAUUAAGCACUUGAAACUGGAAGACUUGAGUGAAGGAGAGGAAAGUGGAAUUCCUAGUGUAGCGGUGAAAUGCGUAGAUAUUAGGAGGAAUACCGGUGGCGAAGGCGACUUUCUGGACUUUUACUGACGCUCAGGUACGAAAGCGUGGGGAGCAAACAGG